UAGGAAUGUAAGACGCGAGAGGUGUGACUUAUUGCGAAAGUCGACGAUUGAGUGGUUUAACUCCUCCUAAAGUGGAGAGAGUGAUUGAAGGAGUGUCUGUUCUUGCCAAAUGAAUUAUGAUGGAUGCAGACGGCAUAAUUUGGUGAAGGAACAGAGACGGUCUUCUAGACUUUCGCUUGAUUGGGUCGAAAGUUGUUUGUGUUUGGUAUCUGACAACUAUUUUGGUUUCAGG
rnacentral:lncRNA from 1 species